GGGUUGUGAGGUUAAGCGACUAAGCGUACACGGUGGAUGCCCUGGCAGUCAGAGGCGAUGAAGGACGUGCUAAUCUGCGAAAAGCGUCGGUAAGGUGAUAUGAACCGUUACAGCCGGCGAUGUCCGAAUGGGGAAACCCAGUGCAAUUCGUUGCACUAUCGUUAACUGAAUACAUAGGUUAACGAAGCGAACCGGGGGAACUGAAACAUCUAAGUACCCCGAGGAAAAGAAAUCAACCGAGAUUCCCCCAGUAGCGGCGAGCGAACGGGGAGCAGCCCAGAGUCUGAAUCAGCUUGUGUGUUAGUGGAACGGUCUGGAAAGUCCGACGGUACAGGGUGAUAGUCCCGUACACCAAAAUGCACAGGCUGUGAACUCGAAGAGUAGGGCGGGACACGUGGUAUCCUGUCUGAAUAUGGGGGGACCAUCCUCCAAGGCUAAAUACUCCUGACUGACCGAUAGUGAACCAGUACCGUGAGGGAAAGGCGAAAAGAACCCCGGCGAGGGGAGUGAAAAAGAACCUGAAACCGUGUACGUACAAGCAGUGGGAGCACCUUCGGGUGUGACUGCGUACCUUUUGUAUAAUGGGUCAGCGACUUAUAUUCUGUAGCAAGGUUAACCGUAUAGGGGAGCCGCAGGGAAACCGAGUCUUAACUGGGCGUUAAGUUGCAGGGUAUAGACCCGAAACCCGGUGAUCUAGCCAUGGGCAGGUUGAAGGUUGGGUAACACUAACUGGAGGACCGAACCGACUAAUGUUGAAAAAUUAGCGGAUGACUUGUGGCUGGGGGUGAAAGGCCAAUCAAACCGGGAGAUAGCUGGUUCUCCCCGAAAGCUAUUUAGGUAGCGCCUCGUGAACUCAUCUUCGGGGGUAGAGCACUGUUUCGGCUAGGGGGUCAUCCCGACUUACCAACCCGAUGCAAACUACGAAUACCGAAGAAUGUUAUCACGGGAGACACACGGCGGGUGCUAACGUCCGUCGUGAAGAGGGAAACAACCCAGACCGCCAGCUAAGGUCCCAAAGUCAUGGUUAAGUGGGAAACGAUGUGGGAAGGCACAGACAGCCAGGAUGUUGGCUUAGAAGCAGCCAUCAUUUAAAGAAAGCGUAAUAGCUCACUGGUCGAGUCGGCCUGCGCGGAAGAUGUAACGGGGCUAAACCAUGCACCGAAGCUGCGGCAGCGACACUAUGUGUUGUUGGGUAGGGGAGCGUUCUGUAAGCCUGCGAAGGUGUGCUGUGAGGCAUGCUGGAGGUAUCAGAAGUGCGAAUGCUGACAUAAGUAACGAUAAAGCGGGUGAAAAGCCCGCUCGCCGGAAGACCAAGGGUUCCUGUCCAACGUUAAUCGGGGCAGGGUGAGUCGACCCCUAAGGCGAGGCCGAAAGGCGUAGUCGAUGGGAAACAGGUUAAUAUUCCUGUACUUGGUGUUACUGCGAAGGGGGGACGGAGAAGGCUAUGUUAGCCGGGCGACGGUUGUCCCGGUUUAAGCAUGUAGGCUGGUUAUCCAGGCAAAUCCGGAUAAUCAAGGCUGAGGUGUGAUGACGAGGCACUACGGUGCUGAAGUAACAAAUGCCCUGCUUCCAGGAAAAGCCUCUAAGCAUCAGGUAACAUCAAAUCGUACCCCAAACCGACACAGGUGGUCAGGUAGAGAAUACCAAGGCGCUUGAGAGAACUCGGGUGAAGGAACUAGGCAAAAUGGUGCCGUAACUUCGGGAGAAGGCACGCUGGUGUGUAGGUGAAGCCCCUGCGGGUGGAGCUGAGACCAGUCGAAGAUACCAGCUGGCUGCAACUGUUUAUUAAAAACACAGCACUGUGCAAACACGAAAGUGGACGUAUACGGUGUGACGCCUGCCCGGUGCCGGAAGGUUAAUUGAUGGGGUUAUCCGUAAGGAGAAGCUCUUGAUCGAAGCCCCGGUAAACGGCGGCCGUAACUAUAACGGUCCUAAGGUAGCGAAAUUCCUUGUCGGGUAAGUUCCGACCUGCACGAAUGGCGUAAUGAUGGCCAGGCUGUCUCCACCCGAGACUCAGUGAAAUUGAACUCGCUGUGAAGAUGCAGUGUACCCGCGGCAAGACGGAAAGACCCCGUGAACCUUUACUAUAGCUUGACACUGAACAUUGAGCCUUGAUGUGUAGGAUAGGUGGGAGGCUUUGAAGCGUGGACGCCAGUCUGCGUGGAGCCAACCUUGAAAUACCACCCUUUAAUGUUUGAUGUUCUAACGUUGGCCCCUUACCGGGGUUGCGGACAGUGUCUGGUGGGUAGUUUGACUGGGGCGGUCUCCUCCCAAAGCGUAACGGAGGAGCACGAAGGUUAGCUAAUCCUGGUCGGACAUCAGGAGGUUAGUGCAAUGGCAUAAGCUAGCUUGACUGCGAGCGUGACGGCGCGAGCAGGUGCGAAAGCAGGUCAUAGUGAUCCGGUGGUUCUGAAUGGAAGGGCCAUCGCUCAACGGAUAAAAGGUACUCCGGGGAUAACAGGCUGAUACCGCCCAAGAGUUCAUAUCGACGGCGGUGUUUGGCACCUCGAUGUCGGCUCAUCACAUCCUGGGGCUGAAGUAGGUCCCAAGGGUAUGGCUGUUCGCCAUUUAAAGUGGUACGCGAGCUGGGUUUAGAACGUCGUGAGACAGUUCGGUCCCUAUCUGCCGUGGGCGCUGGAGAAUUGAGGGGGGCUGCUCCUAGUACGAGAGGACCGGAGUGGACGCAUCACUGGUGUUCGGGUUGUCAUGCCAAUGGCACUGCCCGGUAGCUAAAUGCGGAAGAGAUAAGUGCUGAAAGCAUCUAAGCACGAAACUUGCCCCGAGAUGAGUUCUCCCUGAGACUUUAAGUCUCCUGAAGGAACGUUAAAGACGAUGACGUUGAUAGGCCGGGUGUGUAAGCGCAGCGAUGCGUUGAGCUAACCGGUACUAAUGAACCGUGAGGCUUAACCUUACAACGCCGAAG
rnacentral:rRNA from 1 species